rnacentral:rRNA from 1 species
UGCGGCCAUGGGUUAGCCUGUGGCCACGCCUGUCCGAGGGUCGGCUUAUAAACUAUCACGACGCCCAAAUAGUCGUGGCUUGGGUUUGCCAGCUGGCGUGAUUUCCUUAUCCAUUUGGAUGAGGUGCUAGAUCUAUGGCUCUUCCCUAAUGUGUCCG